UACGAAGGGGGCUAGCGUUGUUCGGAAUUACUGGGCGUAAAGCGUAUGCAGGCGGAUCGAUAAGUCGGGGGUGAAAUCCUGAGGCUCAACCUCAGAACUGCCUUCGAUACUGUCGAUCUUGAGUCCGGGAGAGGUUAGUGGAACUGCGAGUGUAGAGGUGAAAUUCGUAGAUAUUCGCAAGAACACCAGUGGCGAAGGCGGCUAACUGGCCCGGUACUGACGCUGAGAUACGAAAGCGUGGGGAGCAAACAGG
rnacentral:rRNA from 1 species